rnacentral:rRNA from 1 species
ACAACAGGGAUUGCCUUAGUAACGGCGAGUGAAGCGGCAACAGCUCAAAUUUGAAAGCUGGCUCCUUUGGAGUCCGCGUUGUAAUUUGUAGAGGAUGAUUCGGCAAGGGCUCCCGCCUAAGUCUCCUGGAACGGAGCGUCAUAGAGGGUGAGAAUCCCGUAUGCGGUGGGCUGCCUAAGCCAUGUGAAUCUCCUUCGACGAGUCGAGUUGUUUGGGAAUGCAGCUCUAAAUGGGAGGUAAAUUUCUUCUAAAGCUAAAUACCGGCCAGAGACCGAUAGCGCACAAGUAGAGUGAUCGAAAGAUGAAAAGCACUUUGGAAAGAGAGUUAAAAAGUACGUGAAAUUGUUGAAAGGGAAGCGCUUGCAGCCAGACUUGUCCGCAGUUGCUCAGCCGGUCUCCUGACCGGUGUACUCUUCUGCGGCCAGGCCAGCAUCAGUUCGGGCGGUCGGAUAAAGACCUCGGGAAUGUAGCUCCUCUCGGGGAGUGUUAUAGCCCGGGGUGGAAUGCGGCCAGCCUGGACUGAGGAUCUCGCUUCGGCUAGGAUGCUGGCGUAAUGGCUGUAAGCGGCCCGUCUUGAAACACGGACCAAGGAGUCUAACAUCUAUGCGAGUGUUUGGGUGUCAAACCCAUGCGCGUAAUGAAAGUGAACGGAGGUGGGAACCCUCACGGGUGCACCAUCGACCGAUCCUGAUGUCUUCGGAUGGAUUUGAGUAAGAGCAUAGCUGUUGGGACCCGAAAGAUGGUGAACUAUGCCUGAAUAGGGUGAAGCCAGAGGAAACUCUGGUGGAGGCUCGCAGCGGUUCUGACGUGCAAAUCGAUCGUCAAAUUUGGGUAUAGGGGCGAAAGACUAAUCGAACCAUCUAGUAGCUGGUUCCUGCGAGUGCUCUCUCUCCCAGAGAGGAA